ACGUGCGGUGACUACAGAGGUGGGGAAGGCGUAUGAGAGAGAGAUGAAAGAGUCCGGUUUGGAGAUAUUCAAGCGGAUUCCGAAGAAGUUGGAGGAGAGAGGAAGAAGAGACGACGUCGUUUUGGUGGUCUUUGGGAUAAGGAUAGGGUCGAAGGGGUACCCACUGGUGCGGGCGCUGGUGAACCCAGCCAUGGCUUGUUCUUGGCACUGUGUAGUGAAAUGGCAGUUUGGCUUUGGCUGAUAAGCGAUAAGGAGAGAAAUUCUU
rnacentral:misc_RNA from 1 species